rnacentral:rRNA from 1 species
CCUACGGGAGGCAGCAGUGGGGAAUAUUGCACAAUGGGCGCAAGCCUGAUGCAGCGACGCCGCGUGAGGGAUGACGGCCUUCGGGUUGUAAACCUCUUUCAGUAGGGAAGAAGCGAAAGUGACGGUACCUGCAGAAGAAGCGCCGGCUAACUACGUGCCAGCAGCCGCGGUAAUACGUAGGGCGCAAGCGUUAUCCGGAAUUAUUGGGCGUAAAGAGCUCGUAGGCGGUUUGUCGCGUCUGCCGUGAAAGUCCGGGGCUCAACUCCGGAUCUGCGGUGGGUACGGGCAGACUAGAGUGAUGUAGGGGAGACUGGAAUUCCUGGUGUAGCGGUGAAAUGCGCAGAUAUCAGGAGGAACACCGAUGGCGAAGGCAGGUCUCUGGGCAUUAACUGACGCUGAGGAGCGAAAGCAUGGGGAGCGAACAGGAUUAGAUACCCUGGUAGUCCAUGCCGUAAACGUUGGGCACUAGGUGUGGGGGACAUUCCACGUUUUCCGCGCCGUAGCUAACGCAUUAAGUGCCCCGCCUGGGGAGUACGGCCGCAAGGCAAAACUCAAAGGAAUUGACGGCNGAGAGNGCGAGACGACGACGAGGGAGAGG